rnacentral:rRNA from 1 species
UACGUAGGGUGCGAGCGUUAAUCGGAAUUACUGGGCGUAAAGCGUGCGCAGGCGGUUGUGCAAGACAGAUGUGAAAUCCCCGGGCUUAACCUGGGAAUUGCAUUUGUGACUGCACGGCUAGAGUGUGUCAGAGGGAGGUAGAAUUCCACGUGUAGCAGUGAAAUGCGUAGAUAUGUGGAGGAAUACCGAUGGCGAAGGCAGCCUCCUGGGGAUAACACUGACGCUCAUGACACGAAAGCGUGGGGAGCAAACAGG